GUGCUCACUUUGGCAGCACCUAUACUAAAAUUGGAAUAACAUAGAGAAGAUUAGCCUGGCCCCUGCACAAGGAUGACAUGCAAAUUCAUAAAGGGUUACAUAUUUAA